UUAAAUUAAUAAGGGCGUAUGGUGGAUGCCUAGGCAUUAGAAGACGAAGAAGGACGCGACAAACAGCGAAAUUGCCUCGGGGAGUUGUAAGUAAACAUUGAUCCGGGGGUAUCCGAAUGAGGAAACUUACCAAGAAAGGUAUCCUAAAAUGAAUACAUAGUUUUAGUGAAGGAAACCCUGUGAACUGAAACAUCUUAGUAACAGGAGGAAAAGAAAGAAAAAUCGAUUGCCUUAGUAGUGGCGAGCGAAACGGCAAUAGCCCAAACCAAUCUACGGAUUGGGGUAGUAGGACACUUCGAAACGAGAAUAAGAGCUAAAGAUAGCUAAAUGAUUUGGAAAAGUCAGUCAAAGAAGGUGAAAACCCUGUAGGCGAAAUCUGAAGCACUCAGAAGUGAAUCCUGAGUACGGCGGGACACGAGAAAUCCUGUCGGAAUCAACGGGGACCAUCCCGUAAGGCUAAAUACUCUCUAAUGACCGAUAGUGAACAAGUACCGUGAGGGAAAGGUGAAAAGAACCCCGGGAGGGGAGUGAAAUAGAGAAUCUGAAACCAUAUGCUUACAAAAAGUUCGAGCCCGUUAAAGGGUGAGAGCGUGCCUUUUGCAGAAUGAGCCGGCGAGUUAUGGUAUUGUGCAAGGUUAAGUAGAAAAUACGGAGCCGAAGCGAAAGCGAGUCUUAAAAGGGCGAAAAAGUACAAUGCUGUAGACCCGAAACUGAGUGAUCUAGCCAUGAGCAGGUUGAAGUGUAGGUAACACUACAUGGAGGACCGAACCAGGGUACUAUGUAACGUGCUUGGAUGACUUGUGGUUAGCGGUGAAAUUCCAAUCGAACUCAGAGAUAGCUGGUUCUCCCCGAAAUAGGUUUAGGCCUAGCCUUGAAGAAUUUCCUCUGGAGGUAGAGCACUGAAUGUGGAAUGGCCGCGUCUAGCGGUACUGACUGCAAUCAACCUCCGAAUGCCAGAGUAGUUAGCUUCAGGAGUCAGUUUAUGGGUGAUAACGUCCAUAUGCGAGAGAAAAACAAUUCAGACCACCAGUUAAGGUCCCAAAAUAUAUGUUAAGUGGGAAAGGAUGUGGAGUUGCACGAACAGCUAGGAGGUUGGCUCAGAAGCAGCCAUCCUUUAAAGAGUGCGUAAUAGCUCACUAGUCGAGUGGCUCUGCGCCGAAAAUGUACCGGGGCUAAACAUAUUACCGAAACUGUGGAUUUAUGCGAUAGCAUAAGUGGUAGGGGAGCGUUCUAAGGGCGACGAAGAUAGAUCGAGAGGACUAUUGGAGCGCUUAGAAGUGAGAAUGCCGGUGUGAGUAACGUAAGGUAGGUGAGAAUCCUACCCACUGAUUGACCAAGGAUUCCAGGGUCAAGUUCGUCUACCCUGGGUAAGUCAGGACCUAAGGCGAGGCUGAGAAGCGUAGUCGAUGGACAACAGGUUUAUAUUCCUGUACUAUUUAUAGGACUGAAGGAGUGACAAAGGAAGCUAGUAAGAGCCAUUUAAUGGAUUAUGGUCUAAGCACAAAGACUGAUACAUAGGAAAAUCCGUGAUAUCGAACGGUUGAAGUGUGAUGGCGAAGCAGUCUACGGACAGCGAAGUCUUAUGAGGCUAAACUUUUUAAAAAAGCUUCUAAAGAAAUGCUAUAAAUACCUGUACUAAGAACCAACGCAGGUGGUCAAGGAGAGAAUCCUAAGGUGAGCGAGAGAACUAUGGUUAAGGAACUCGGCACAAUGAUCCCGUAACUUCGGAAUAAGGGAAGGUCUUGAAAAAGACCCGCAGUGAAUAGGCCCAAGCGACUGUUUACCAAAAACACAGGUUUCUGCAAAAGCGUAAGCUGAAGUAUAGGAGCUGACGCCUGCCCAGUGCUGGAAGGUUAAGAUGAUUUGUAAGAUGGACGAAAGUCGAUAACAUCGAAGCAAUGAAUUGAAGCCCCAGUGAACGGCGGCGAUAACUAUAAUCGUCCAAAGGUAGCGAAAUUCCUUGUCAGGUAAGUUCUGACCCGCACGAAAGGCGUAACGAUUUGGGCACUGUCUCAACCAUAGACUCGGUGAAAUCUUAAUACCUGUGAAAAUGCAGGUUAC
rnacentral:rRNA from 1 species